rnacentral:rRNA from 1 species
CCUACGGGAGGCUGCAGUGGGGAAUAUUGGACAAUGGGCGAAAGCCUGAUCCAGCCAUGCCGCGUGUGUGUAGAAGGCCUUCGGGUUGUAAAGCACUUUCAGUGGGGAAGAAAGCCUUGGGGCUAAUACCCUCGAGGAAGGACAUCACCCACAGAAGAAGCACCGGCUAACUCCGUGCCAGCAGCCGCGGUAAUACGGAGGGUGCGAGCGUUAAUCGGAAUUACUGGGCGUAAAGCGCGCGUAGGCGGUCUGUUAAGCCGGUUGUGAAAGCCCCGGGCUCAACCUGGGAACGGCAUCCGGAACUGUCAGGCUAGAGUGCAGGAGAGGAAGGUAGAAUUCCCGGUGUAGCGGUGAAAUGCGUAGAGAUCGGGAGGAAUACCAGUGGCGAAGGCGGCCUUCUGGACUGACACUGACGCUGAGGUGCGAAAGCGUGGGUAGCAAACAGGAUUAGAUACCCGGGUAGUC